GUGAGCGUGCGCUUCUCUGCUGCCGCCGCCGCCGCCGCUGCUGGUCCCGCGCCCUGUGGUGCUGCCCCCGCCUACCGGAAUACCCAGCCUGAGGAGCGCGUCGGCUGGCCGCCAGCAGCGCCGCGGGAAGGGAGCGGAGCCGCGGAGCCGGCGGCAGGCGGCAGGCGGACAGAUUAACCUACUAUGGCAGACCAGAGGCAGCGCUCACUUUCUACCUCCGGAGAAUCGCUAUACCAUGUUCUCGGGCUGGACAAGAAUGCAACUUCAGAUGACAUUAAAAAAUCCUAUCGGAAGCUUGCCCUGAAGUAUCACCCAGACAAGAACCCUGAUAACCCAGAGGCUGCAGACAAGUUUAAGGAGAUCAACAACGCCCACGCCAUCCUGACGGAUGCCACAAAAAGGAACAUCUAUGACAAGUACGGCUCUCUGGGGCUCUAUGUGGCCGAGCAGUUCGGGGAAGAGAACGUCAACACCUACUUCGUGCUCUCCAGCUGGUGGGCCAAGGCCCUGUUUGUCUUCUGCGGCCUCCUCACCUGCUGCUACUGCUGCUGUUGCCUGUGCUGCUGCUUCAACUGCUGCUGCGGGAAGUGUAAGCCGAAGGCUCCUGAGGGUGAAGAGACCGAGUUCUACGUGUCCCCUGAGGACCUGGAGGCACAGCUGCAGUCUGAUGAGAGGGGAGGGCACUGACACUGUGCCGCGAGUGUUUGUGGUGGCAGCUGGGACUGUUGAGGUGUGAACGUGGACACUUGAGAGGCCACAGAUACACCAAUCGUCAUACAGCCAGCGUCCGCCACAGAGACCACCCAGCUCACGGCUGACUCCCACCCCAGUUACCACACUGACGGGUUCAACUAAGUUCAGGAAAAGCUGUGAUUAGAGGGUGAAUCAGCACCCAGCCACUGCAACCUUAGAAUCAUGAACUGUAGUCACCAAGAUGGGGAGGCAGCGGCUGACCUGCCUGGCUGCGUCGGCCCCCUUCCACCUCCUCUACGCCCACCCAUCCGUCGAUCCUCGAUACACGAAGUGCGUAGCAUGCAGUAUUUAAAGCAGUGUAGCUACGGUCUUCUCUGUUUUUCCUUUUUUAAUAGCAUGUAUGGGUUAUGUUCAGUGUCUGUGUUGUGGACGUGCCUCAGCCUAGCUGCAUUAACUGGACGGUGGAGCUGCCUCGGGGCUUUCAGUUGGGUUGGUCCAGGAAGGGCUGACCAUAGCUGCCAGGUUCCACCUAGCCGGUUGGGCUAGAAACGGAGGGGCCUCCCCUUGCUUUCUGGUGCCCACCAGGGCUGGAGGCAGCGCUGCCUGGUGGAGCUGCAUCUCCAUCUUGGCCUUGGUGUCUGUCCUGAGGUGGGUCUGGUCCACACUGCGCUCCCUGGCCUGAGGCUGCAGGCGGGACACUGAUCUCACUGGCUGGGAAAGUGAGGGCCACAUCCUCCCGGCUCUGCCAGCAUCACAGCCACUGUCGCAGUGCUUGUGUGGGUACAGUGUGCACCUUCUGCACUUGGCCUCAUAGCAGGGUUCUCCUGAGGGCAGACAUGCUGAGGAGAGUGCAGGCACACCCUUUCCGAGGAUGCACUCGCACACUCUGCACAGCGAAGGAUCCUUCGCCUGGGUCUCUGCCACGUGCACUGAGGUUCCUGGCCUCAGAGCUGUCAGCUGCCUGUGUAGGGAGGUCAUUUGUCCCUGCUCUUGUCCCUUUCCCAGGCUGACCGCUGGAUUGAUGGGGCCACAGUCUCUCCUCCCCUUCUGUAGGUCUGACUCCACAUUCCUUCAAACCCACCUAUUUUUUAAACCUUUCUGAACUUCUGAAAACCACAAGUGAUAGGAUCUCCUUAUUCAUAAUGCGAGGGUCUGAGUCUCUGGCCGAUGGCACAUGGCUGCUUGCGCCCAGGAAGUGUUGUGGAAGUGCCCAGCCCCGGGGACCCUUGUCCCUUUGCUGCCAGAGCCUGGUGCACCCCCUUGGCUUCAUCUGUGCCUGUCAUCCGUGAUCCAAGAGCAAGAGUACUGGGUUCCUGGAGGAAGGCUUCUGGAGCCAAGGUACCUCAGAAGGGUCGGGUCCCAGGGAGGUUGCACUGAUGCCUCAGCUCAUCAGCCAGCCUGGAAGUUUAGAGCUGGACCACAAACCCCUGUGUAAACCACUAGCACUCAGUCUCUCGCAUCUGUGCCCAGGCCUUGUAGGUGGUGCCCUGGGUGGGGACCUGAGGAGAUGUAGACUGUGUGCCCCUACUGACCAAGGUUUGAAGCUGUCCCACCCUCAGCAGCUCCCUGCGCGUGCUGGACCAGACUCCAGUGAGCUGGGUUCCUGCAAACCUUCCAGUGCCAAGCAUCGUCUCAGUUUCCAGUAGAGGUGAAGGAGGAGAAGGCUCAUGUGGAGACUCUCUGGCCCAGACGACUUGCUACACGACGUGUGCUCCCAAAGUGUGCUUUGCCCCACCUGCUGAUUUUUGGCCCCAGCUCACCAGCAUGUCCAGGAGUAGGGUUAGGGUGAUAGGAAGUUGCAAGAAAGGGCAGCAAGCUGAGGACAAACCUAACAUGUUUCGGAAUACCUCACUGGUUAGAGCAGUGAUGCUACAGCCCCAGCUCCUCCUACUGCUUGCUGCUCCACAUGGGCCAGGAGCCAGUUGGUGCCAGCACCAGGUGCUUGGGUGGGUUCGUCUGUUUGGCUCAUUCAAAUGAUCAUGAAGACAUUAGGGAGGCAUUCAUCUAGGAUUUGUUAGACAUAGUUUGUUAACAUGGGACUUCUUGUGGAAGGAUAAGAAAUGCACUAUUGGGCCCAUCUGGAAACAGGAGGUGAGACCACUGGGUAUCAUGUGUGCCAGUCCCAGUAUGACAGUAAUGAGGGACUCUGCAGAAAGGCCACCUGGUUCAACCUCUAUGACUUCCUAGAGACCCUUAAAAGUGAGUUGUUUUUCCCCAGAGUGGCCAGGAGCCAGGUUCAGAGUGUGGACAUGGUAGAGUGUGGAGGCCUGCCUGGGGCGUGUAGUCUGCAGCUCUGUGGCUCUUUCCCCCGUCCAGUGACCCUAGCCAGAUCUCUUCAGCUGAGAACCCUGGACAGUGGCUGGGGAAGGAGAGCAGCACUUGAACCCAGUGUCCAGUGGAGUUUGUAAAGCUAAGGAAAUCAUGUAGAAUGUGCAAAGAUGAAUAAGAUGGUUGUCAAGGUGAUGACAGGGCUCACCCAAGGCCCAGCUGGGGAUAACUGUGAAUGUCAGGGUCGGGAGCCCUUCCCGCUGCCUGACCUUGUAGCAAACCCCGCUUCAGUGUUUUACUGUGUUGGUCUCAGGCCUGCCUGGUUUGGGCCCUUUUAACAAGUAGACCUGGUGAGUCUGAGGGAGUCAGGUUGCACCACUUCCUGUCCAAAUGCUAGCAAAUCAGAACAACUCCCAGUUCUCCAGGCUCCUGUGCUGGUGGCCAUAGCAGCAGUCUGCUUCACCAGGGCGUAUUGCCUGGAGCGUGCUGAGGCCAGUGUGCAUGGAAGCCUGUCGGAGCCUGGGUGCCCCUCAGGGUCCAGGCAGCGUGGUCAGGGAUGGGAGGAACUUGUGAGGCCAUCUCACGGGAGCUGCUGUUGCUGCUGCUCUGUAGAUUUCUGUUUCCGUUCAGUGAUGUGGUCUUUUCUUGUCUUCCUUUAGGCUUUAUUCUAUUUUUAAACUGCUUUAGAUAUUACUGCUCACUGUUCACGAGCCUUCCUAGUUGUCUGAUCAGUUGGUAUAGCCAACACCCAAUGGGGACCUGUUAGAAAAAGAAAGUGGAGCAUUCAGUGUAGUGAACAGGAAACUUCAUCUCGGUGUUGUUGGUUGUUGGACCUGACCAUAAGCGCCAGUCCAGGAAAGGCGCUGGAUCAGGAAAGGUCAGGACUCUUCAGAUAUGUGACCCGUGUUCCCCUGGCAGCAGUGCCCAUUGUCCUCCUGAGCCCACAGCAGUCUGUUCCAGGGGAGCCUCGUGCUGGAGCAGCCUCCACAGGUGUAGCUGGGGGUCUCGGGAGAUGGUGGCCCCGGCAUGCAGGCUGUCGCUGGAGGGUCCAGGUGCUGCGGGCAGAGCAGGGUGGAUCCUUGCCACCCUCUGCGGAGCCUCAGCACACUCUGCUGUGGGGGAGUGGCUUGUGAGGGGUGUACCCACUGGCUGAUCUCAUUCCUUUCCCAGUAUUCUGAGCUGUAAACCCCUGCGGCCCAGGCCUGACUUGUUUCUGUUAUGUUUUGGUUACAAACCAUCCUCCUGUGGAAUUGGCAAAAGCUACAUCUUUACUGUACAAGCACGGUUUGAGUGUGGGCUGUGGUGUGUGUCUGUGUGUACAUAUGUGUAUAUGUAUAUAUUGUGCAGCAGGCCUGUCAUGCUGCUGUCCAGUGGCUAAGCGACAAGUACAAUAAAGUUGGCUCUCAAGCAGCUGUGGUUUCUUUGCAAGUUGGGCAGGGUAGGGUCUCCGUACGGCCUCCAGUGGAUGCACAGUAGGAAACUCAGCCCCUGCGUGCAGAAAGCACUGGUGCCGGGAAGCACUGCGGAGGCCCUGCCAGCAUUGGGCUUUAGCAGGGUUGGGCAUGAGGUAGCUGUCACAAACGUCCAUUCCUGGGGCUCUGUCAUGCUCGUCUCAUCCACAGGUAUGAGAAAGCUAGGAAGGGGAUGACUGGAAACCCUCCUUCCUUAAAACAUCGAAACCACUUUUCUGAGCACUAGGUACAGUCAGUGGAAAGCUCGCCUGUGAAGGCAGCCUGGGCAGGGACUCCAUACUGGCCAGUCCUCGGAAGGACACAGGGAAUUUGCACACCCUCCAGGAAGGGGCUAGGCCAAGUGCCCUGCAGGCAGUGUCUGGGAGAUUUGAUUUCCUGAAAAGGGGGCAGUGUUCCAUACUGGAUGGGGUGGGGUAAUUUACACUGAAGCAUAUAUAUGCUAUUUUUUAAAAUUCGAUGCAAGUACAUGGAAGGCAGUUGUCCAUGCACUGGUUUUACCCCAUUCGCAGGGCCCAGUCACCCUUGGGUACAGCCUGCUGUCGGAGCCCUGCCUGACUGACUCCUUCCUACCUGCACUCCAAGGGCCAGGCUGCAGGGCUCAGGUGGCUUCACAUGGUGAUCACCAUCUUGUUUGUCUGAAUGUUGACCUAAAAUAAAGAUAACUGUUGUAAAAUAAAUGUUUUCACUGCA